GAUGAACGCUGGCGGCGUGCCUAAUACAUGCAAGUCGAGCGAACAGACGAGGAGCUUGCUCCUCUGACGUUAGCGGCGGACGGGUGAGUAACACGUGGAUAACCUACCUAUAAGACUGGGAUAACUUCGGGAAACCGGAGCUAAUAACGGAUAAUAUAUUUAACCGCAUGGUUCAAUAGUGAUAGACGUUUUUGCUGUCACUUAUAGAUGGAUCCGCGCCGCAUUAGCUAGUUGGUAAGUUAACGGCUUACCAAGGCAACGAUGCGUAACCGACCUGAGAGGGUGAUCGACCACACUGGAACUGAGACACGGGCCAGACUCCUACGGGAGGCAGCAGUAGGGAAGCUUCCGCAAUGGGGGAAAGCCUGACGGAGCAACGCCGCGUGAGUGAUGAAGGUCUUCGGAUCGUAAAACUCUGUUAUGAUGGAAGAACAAAUGUGUAAGUAACUAUGCACGUCUUGACGGUACCUAAUCAGAAAGCCACGGCUAACUACGU
rnacentral:rRNA from 1 species